ACGAACGCUGGCGGCGUGCUUAACACAUGCAAGUCGAACGGAAAGGCCCUGCUUUUGUGGGGUGCUCGAGUGGCGAACGGGUGAGUAACACGUGAGUAACCUGCCCUUGACUUUGGGAUAACUUCAGGAAACUGGGGCUAAUACCGGAUAGGGGCUCCUGCUGCAUGGUGGGGGUUGGAAAGUUUCGGCGGUUGGGGAUGGGCUCGCGGCUUAUCAGCUUGUUGGUGGGGUAGUGGCUUACCAAGGCUUUGACGGGUAGCCGGCCUGAGAGGGUGACCGGCCACAUUGGGACUGAGAUACGGCCCAGACUCCUACGGGAGGCAGCAGUGGGGAAUAUUGCACAAUGGGCGGAAGCCUGAUGCAGCAACGCCGCGUGCGGGAUGACGGCCUUCGGGUUGUAAACCGCUUUCGCCUGUGACGAAGCGUGAGUGACGGUAAUGGGUAAAGAAGCACCGGCUAACUACGUG
rnacentral:rRNA from 1 species